CCCCUUCACAAACACGUCCCUAGCGGCAGAAGGCUCCGAUCCGCAGCAGAGCCACUUCCACCCAGCGUCAGCAGGACAAGGAAAUGAGAACUUAAAUUCUGUCAGUUUAGUUGGAUGGAUGACAUUGAUUCAACCUCUUUUCCCCCAUGGUGACUGCAGAAGAUAUAAAUUCGGAACGCCACCCCAGUAGGGUUGUAUUGUGUUAUACCCUAGUCUCAUGGAAAUAAGUCUUUCAGUGAAACUUCAAAUCUGCCUUAACCAAGGCUCCCUAUCAUCAGGACCAGGACUAUCUGCAACAGGGAACAGCUCCAACCUGUAAGUGGCAUAACCACUCCUGUGGGAGGGACUGAGUCUAUAAAUACACUGAAUGCCUGCAGCCACAUAAGCACAGCUGCUGAUGCAGCAGAGCAGCCAGAAAGAGGUGCAUUUAAUUAACGAAGAGAAAGAAAAGGACCUGGGAUGGAAGUGGAGAGAUGGAAAAUACGGAAACAAGGUGUGCGCCUUCUAUACAGCUCACUCUAGGCUAGAUGGGUUGGAAGGAAAGAAGUCAAGAGGAAAAACAACUUGUUUGAAUUUGCAAGAACAGGUGGCUUUUCAAGCCCUCUGGCCCCCAAUCCAUGUGAUCCUAUUUAUCCUCCCU